UUGAUUCAUUUUUUUUGCUUAUAGCCACUCAGAGAAUACCACUAAAGUAAAACAAGAGUUUGAGUCCCCCGGCGGGCGCCUGGUUCCGGGGCACGCGAUGGCGCCCGGGGCGAUCCCGCCGAAGCAACGACUGGUAAGGUUCACAGGGGUUUGGGAGUUUUUACACUCUGUAAUGAUCCCUCCGCUGGUUCACCAACGGAGA
rnacentral:misc_RNA from 1 species